rnacentral:rRNA from 1 species
UACGGAGGGUGCAAGCGUUAAUCGGAAUUACUGGGCGUAAAGCGUGCGUAGGCGGUUCGUUAAGUCUGUUGUGAAAGCCCCGGGCUCAACCUGGGAAUGGCAAUGGAUACUGGCGAGCUAGAGUGUGUCAGAGGAUGGUGGAAUUCCCGGUGUAGCGGUGAAAUGCGUAGAGAUCGGGAGGAACACCAGUGGCGAAGGCGGCUACCUGGACCAGCACUGACACUGAGACACGAAAGCGUGGGGAGCAAACAGGG